UACGUAGGGUGCGAGCGUUGUCCGGACUGACUGGGCGUAAAGCGCCCGCAGGCGGCCGUGCGCGUGGGGUGUGAAAGCUCUCGGCUUAACUGAGAGAGGCCAUCCCAUACGGCACGGCUCGAGCCGUCCAGAGGCCGGUGGAAUUGCCGGUGUAGUGGUGAAAUGCGUAGAGAUCGGCAGGAACACCCAGGGGGAAACCAGCCGGCUGGGGGACGAGGCUGACGCUC
rnacentral:rRNA from 1 species